rnacentral:tRNA from 1 species
GCCUCCGUAGCUCAGCUGGAUAGAGCACCGGACUUCUAAUCCGAUGGUCGCAGGUUCGAAUCCUGCCGGGGGCG